rnacentral:rRNA from 1 species
CCUACGGGUGGCUGCAGUGAGGAAUAUUGGUCAAUGGCCUGAAGGCUGAACCAGCCAAGCCGCGUGAAUGACGAAGGUGCCAAGCAUUGUAAACUUCUUUUGUCAAGGGACACAAUCAGGCUCGAGAGCCUGACCGCGGGUACUUGAAGCAAAAGCAUCGGCUAACUCCGUGCCAGCAGCCGCGGUAAUACGGGGGAUGCGAGCGUUAUACGGUUUUAUUGGUUUUAAAGGAUGCGUAGGCGGAAUGUUAAGUCAGCGGUAAAAGCCCGGGGCUCAACCCCGGCGAGCCGUUGAAACUGGCUGUCUUGAGAUGUCGAGAGGUAUGCGGAAUGCGCAGUGUAGCGGUGAAAUGCUUAGAUAUUGCGCAGAACUCCGAUUGCGAAGGCAGCAUACCGGCGGCGAUCUGACGCUGAGGCACGAAAGCGUGGGUAUCGAACAGGAUUAGAUACCCUGGUAGUC